CUUUGUCGACUCUUUGGCUCUUGCAAUAUCCAGAGGAAAGGCGUCCUCACUGAUCUUCCACUGGGGAAGCCGAGACCCCAGGAGGGUCAGUCUCUGUUGGAGUCAGUCAGGUCGAGGAGUCACCAGAUGUGACAGGAAAAGAGGCUUGUGCAGAGAGCUGGGGCCAUUCUUCUGACAUCUUCAGUUCCUCCUUCCCUUCCUCCAUCUUGCUGCCCGCAUGCCCCUCCUUCAAGAAUGCUUUUCAUGGUUGUCAGCCUACUCCACAGGUAUUGCUUCAUCAGUCGAGCCUUCCCUGCUCUUCCCUUCUUUGGGCUGAGUUCUGGAAAAGCCACCAGUGUCUCAUCCCUGGGUGAUGUGAUCUCGUGAGUACAAACCACAGAUCUCUUAUCCUGUGUAGACUCUGGUCUUGAGGACCAAGCUGGGCACGUAGUAGGUGUUCUAUAAAUAGGUUUUGAAGGGAUGACUGAGGAUUAGGGCUUCUGGAUCAGGGUGGGGGGAGGUGAGGGCAAUGUCUGAUGGUAGCCUGCAUGCCCCAGAGUGGGGUCUCUUCAAGCUAGGGGGUGGGAUUCAUAAGGAUAGAAGCCAAGCUGUGGAGGAGUCAGGCCAUGAUGAGGACGAGGACAGUGUGGCCUCUCUGUGACUCAGGACUUGGACACUGGGUUGACUGCUGGGUGGGAGUUAGUUAGUUUCUGGCUUGUGGCCUGGAAAUUAGGACAAGCUGAUAGGUUUGGUCCAGAUUCAGGGACUUGCAUGAUGGACAACCAGGCCCUGGUGAUGCAGUAGAUGUAUGGUGAUGACCUACUGGGGUCUGAGCUGGGAAAAGGGCACUUGCCAUGGUUGGCAGGUUGCCAUCUCCCUGAUGCCAGGUGUGUUUAUCGGCUCGUUUAGAAGGGAUGAAGGGGAGCGCUGGUAGACCUCAGGUUCUUCUCUUUAUCAAGAUGCCUAGCAAGCUUCAAAGGCAUCUGAGGGCUGAGGAUGAACUCAGAGGUUAAAAUGCUUGCCUGAUAAGUGUAAGGACCAAGUUCAGAUCCCCCCUAAAUCUCCUUUAGUGCUAGUGGGCCUGGUAGCUUACCCGGCACCCCAGCCAUGGAAGAUGGAGACAGAACCCAGCAGAACAGACUGGACAGGAAGACAUGUCAGCAGCUCUGGGUUGGACUGAGACUCCGCCUCAAAGAAUAAGGCAGAAGAGUGUCAGGAUGAUUCCAGACAGCAACCUCAAGGCUCUACAUGCAUGAACACACAAGCUCUGCCAGAAUGUAUGCAUACCAUGUACACAUGCGGGCCCCCAUGCAAGCAUGCAUACCCACAAGCACACAUGCCACACACAUGAAACAAAAAACAAAAAUAAAGCGUUUGGAUGUA
rnacentral:lncRNA from 1 species